CAUGUUAAAAACUUGUAUCUAUUGGCUAGGGAGAGAGAUUGAGCUUGAACGUUUGUGCAGCAAGUUAGAGUGAAGUUAGAGUGAUUAAGAAUUGAGAUGGAAAUGUGCUAAUGAGUGAAGAAAGUGUGUUGAGAAGGUGGAAAGAGUACUUUGAGGAGCUAAUAAAUAAAGAAAAUGAGAGAAAUGACAGUUAGCGAGUCAGGAAGUGCAGAGAACUAAUAAGAGGAAGAUGGGGGAACUGUCAAGAUGACGCAGUUGGUCCAGAUGACAUACCUGUGGAGGUAUGGAAAUGUCUAUAAGAGAAAGACUAAUACCAACUACGACAUCAUCCUACCAACAUGGAUCAUUUCUGCUGACAGUUAUUGGCAGUUCCCAGUGAACCACAGUGAGAGGAGGCCUGAGGAAUGAAGAAGUGUACUGGUCCCAAUUUUUAGGAAAAAGGGUGAUGUGCAGAGUUAAGUUUCACCAAACUGGGUCAUCACAAUAGUUAUAUCUUCAACUUGGAUCCCAUCCUUGCAUUUUUGUAGGAAGUAUGAAAACAGUGGAAAAAUGCUACCUGAAUCAUAGUGGAAGAAGGCUUUGGAAACAAUGACAGUCCUGUUGGGAGGAGUGAUUCCACAUGUGGGAGUGAGUUCUCGCUCUGGUUAAAUGAUUCCAGACAUGUUGCUUUUCUUAUCAGAUUGACUGGGAUGCACAGGGAGCAAGCAAGCACGUGCAGGAGUAUAUCAAAAAAUAUACAGAAGCAUGAAUGCUCCCACCUCACCCACCUUCUACACAGAGACAGACAUCAGAUAUAGCAUAAGAAUAGUCAAACAAACACCCAGCUGUUCUGUCCCUUCUGCUCAAAGUAUAAGUACCUCCUCUGGAAAAGCACUGGAUCAGCAUCACUCAAAUAUCUUCAUAAUGGUCUUUUAUGUCAUUGUAGGUCCACCCAGCAGCCUUCUGCUCUUAAACCAAUGAGUUGGCAUUCUUAGACAGCCAGAUGUUGUUGAUGUGUUGAAUAAAAACAUGAAAAAUCUUAUUUGAAGUGGCUUAAAGUCAAACAGAGUUUUUGUAUAUAACUGAGUACAUGACAGGGGUCAGUGGUAGCAACAAAUCCACUGAGAAUCAUGUCUAAAACCUGCAGUUUGCCUUAGCUCUGGGACAUUUUAGCAUUUUUCUGCUCAUUCUGGUAUUUCCACUAGCUAAUUUCCAAGCACUAAAUAGGAGGUAGACAAAGUUACUAAAGCAUUUAGUAGUUAGAUUACAACUGGUUUAGAGCGUACGUAUACAGAACCAUGUGGUUUUAAGAGUUUCUGUAUUAGAGUAGCUAUCUGUACUGUACAUCCACUGUCAUGGUUUGAGUUUGCUCUGUACUCUUUACUCAUUUUCAUAAACUUAUAAAAUACUUAUAUUCAAGUUUUGCAUUAAUUAGUUUCAGGUUUUAUAUUCUCUAGUGCAUCUGAGUUUGUUAUUUCUGGUUCUUAUGUUAGUUCCCUUUCAUGUCCAGUAUGUUCCUAGACUCGUCUCUAUGUCUUGUCAUCAGAGAUCAUCCCUGUGUUUUUCAAGUUCUUGUGUCUAAGUAUCUCAGUGUGUGUGCAUGUUACUUCCUGUUUUAUUUUGAUAGUCUCCUGUGUCAAGCCAAGUCAAGUCAAGUGGCUUUAUUGUCAUUUCAACCAUGUGCAUUCGUACACUACACAGUGAAGCAAGACAGCGUUCCUCCAAGACCACGAUGAUACAUAUAACAGACAAUCAACACAGGACUACAUAAAGUGCAAGAACAACAACAACAGCAACAGAACAAUGCAGACACAAGGCAGUGCAGACACAGUGCAAUAGAAAAGUACAUGUGUUAUUAUGCAGUUAUUCAGUUUGUAUUAUGUCCUGUUAUUGUUUAGUUUUGUAUUUACCUUCUAGUUUUUUAUGCCUUCCUUCAGUUGUGAAUUUGAGUUUAGUUCCAUUUUGCUGAAUCCUGCAGUCCACACCCUUUUUGCCAAACACCUGCUUACAUGACAACACCAAACUAGUACAGUAUAGCUUUAUUUGAGCUACUUUGUAAAAAUUUGAAAUAACAGUUGUUCAAUUUCUGAAUUAUGAGAAAUGAAGCUAAUGCACAAGCUCAAGAAGCAAGAUGUAUAAAUACUCACCUGCCUGCUUUCCUGGGUGUUAGGGUACAUGAAACCAUCUUCCCAUGCUGUCAGUCUUCAUGCUGACAUCAUUACUCUAGUCCAAUCAUCUUCUUGCCCGCAUUCUUUGAGCCAAUCAGCCUCUACUUUGUGUGGUUUAAAGAAACUUAGAACAUAAGUAGCCUACAUUACAACAAAGAAAAACUACAUUUAAAUACUAACAGAGGUUAAGGCUUAGACCUUGUGUCCACAACAUAAUCCAAAUGAAUGCUGGGUCUAGCUGUGUAAGGAGACUGCUUUUUGUUAACUAGUUCACUGCUUUACUUGUAAAAGUGAUGCCAGGAUUUACUCAUAUAUUGGCAACAUCCCCUUAUUGGAAACAUUUAGCAAUAAACGCGUAUAAAAAGGAGUAAAUGUUAAUUAUUUAAGUUCAGAUAUUUUUUUGUGACUGCAAUGAUGUUUAAAUAAUAUGUAAAAACUAAAUACUGUAUCAGCAAUAUAGAGUUAUGCUCAAGUGAAAUAAAAAAUAAACUUUUAAUAAACUGAUGGAAAACUCGUAUGGUUCCUCUGCUCCCCACUCUUCCACUCCAGUCUUUAAGAAUACAGAAUUUUGAUUGGCUUGUUAAAGAAGCUUGUGGAUGGACACACAAUAUUCAGCAGAUUACAAGCACUGUGGAAACAGAGCUACAUCCAGCUGGCAAGUUCUUUAACCCCAAACCACUAUGCUGGAAAUCACCCAAUGAAUACACUGUGGGAGGUGACCGUGGAAAGUAGAAAGCUACUGCCGCUACUGCUUUUACCUUUUCCAUUAUAACUGUCUCUCUAAAUAUAAUUAACAAUGAGGAGGAAAUAUAUAAAUAAAAAAACUAUUGCUGUAAAGAUGGAUGACUUUGAUGAAGGCUAUCUUCCAAAAUUACUCAUUGACCAAAUUUUAUGCUAUUUUCCUCCAGCCAUGUAUUGUUACAGUGCCAUCAGUGGAAGAUGUAGUCAGUGGAAAAAAAUGGCCCAUUCAUAUUUUCAGCAUUGUGGAUGAUAUGAGUGCUCUACUCUGUAAUCUACUUCAUUUGU